CACUUUGUUAACUUCCAUUCAAAUUUAUAGAAUUUUGUUUUGUAUUACAAAAGCUAUGAACAAUUUCACACUAUUGUUGCAUCUUGCAAAAAGCAUAGUUCCUUUGUCAGAACGAUUCUUGUUGAUCUAAAUCGAAAUAUAUUGAACGAAUUUAAUUGAAAAAAAAAGGAAAGAAACGAAACUUGGAGGAAAAAUAACUCGAUCGAUCUUUUUCAAAUCAUUUCUUCUUUCAAAGGAAUACAAUAAUCAAUGUGAAAUUCAUUAAAAAUAAAUUCCAUGAAAUGCGUAAUAACAACGAGGAAUAAACUACUCGUAACGAGUCUCUAUCCGGCUAUUUUACAAACGUCCUCUCGUGUUUUACGUACCGAUAGCUAGCUCGUCGUAUCUUGCGCAUAAUAAGAACGUACAUACAUCUCGUUGAGAAUCGACGAUUGGCUUCCUCCUGACGAGUCAUCGAAUUCUAAGGAAAGUGAAUCAUGCUAAAAUGCUAGAAACGAGAAUAAUUAAGAUGAAGAGAGAAGAGAGAGAGAGAGAGAGAGAGAGAGAGAGAGAGAGAGAGAGAGAGAGUAAUGCAUAAGAAAUAUACUACGAUCUGGGCAAAUCAAAAUUCAUACAUUGCAUAUAAUAUUGUAAGAUAUAAAUAAUGUUUUACUGAAUGGUCUAUUAGUCCCGAGAAAGCCAAAGAUUUCAUACAAGUAUUGAUAACUUUAUUAUAAUCGGUAAAAAAAAAAAUAAAGUUAAAGGAAGGAAAAGAGAUAAGGAACAAAUUCAAUUUUUAAACUCUUCUGUUUCAUCUCCAUAUCAUCAUCGUCGUCUUCUUCAAGUUCGCCGUCUCGAAACAUCUCUCUCUCUCUCUCUCUCUUUCUCUCUCUCUCUCCAUUUUUCUUUCUGUUGAUUCUUCACGCAGGGCGACACGUUGAAUAACGGCGUUAAAGGCAAAUGCCGCGGGAAUAUCAUGAUAAUCGUCCGAAUGAUGGAUAAUGAUCGGCGCGGCUGCCUUUCGCGCCCGCUUGAGCAACCCUCUGACCCCACUCCCCCUUCGGCAACCCCUUCGCCGAGCCUCCUCAUUCGUCCCACCAUACGACUUCUUCUCGUCACCGACAUCGUCACGCUUCGUCGAGACCAUUAUUCAAUUGAAUUCAAUGCUACCUCGGACCAUUACGGAAUUGACUUCGAGAACUUUCUUUCGGGCAUCCGUCUCGUUGGACAGACGCUACUUCCGCCGAACUCGAAGAAAGAGAAAGAGAAAAGAGAAGAUUGACGUACCCUCAUCACGUAUCAUCGAUAAACGAGUAGACGACAAAGACGACGAAGAAGACGAUGGCGACGACGACGACGACGACGACGACGACGACGACGACGACGACGACGACGACGACGACGACUAAAACGCAGCAAUCUUCGUCAUUGGUGUAUUUCUUUCUCUUUUUCUUUUGUUUUUUUUUUUCUUUUUCCGGCAACGUAGGAGCGUGCGCGAUCACCGACAUUGAAGAGAAUCGUCAAGAUUGGAAACAUCGUCCAUUGUAUUUCGUACUUCGCACUUGGACUACCAAUAAAGUCUUUGAGCCUAGUCGAAUCUGAACUUACUACGUCGUUCAUUAACGUCAAUCGUUGAAAAUUCCAAGGAGGAACAGAAGAUUUCUAAUGUGUUUAAAAGAUUAUAACAUUCUAUUAAACAAAAAAUCAUCUACUUGACAAUCAUUCAAUUUGACAAUUCAUAUUUGACAAUUCAUUCGGACAGUCGAGAUUAGAACGUAGGCGUGAGUGAUCGAACAAUGAAUGCAUUCAUGAAAUGCAUUCCUUUUAAUAAUCAAUAUAUUUUAUAUUAAUUGUAAGAAAUACAAUGAAGAGCUACGUGAUACGUCCGAUCUGUUGUGAUCGGUGGUUCGAGAAACAAAUGAAGAAGGAAAAAUAAAAGAUCGCUAUAGACAUCAUGUCGUCGGUAACGUUCGUCCAGCUUCGUUCUGGUCAGACUAUCCUUCGAUAAUUAAGCUUUAACAGCCGUGGGCACUCUGGUUCGUGUAUAAUGAUCGAUCGAUAUGAAUUACGAUUUCUCGAAAGAAGGACUGAUUCUUUCGGGAUGCUUAUGAAGGAAUAAAAAAGAAAGAGAGAGAUGAUCUUGAGUUAAUCGAAUGUCUAAAAUCGAUUAUAUAUUUAAAGGAGGGAAGAUGGAAGGAGGAAGAUAUAAAAAAUGUAUCAUUUAUACAUUUGUAAGUAGGUAUACUUAUAUUAACGUACGAUCAUUGUGAUUGAACUUUUUAGAAAAGUCAUACACGUGAUUACGAGUAUAAGAAAAAAGGAAAAAAAUUAAGGAUAAAAAAGGAAAAGCUAUCAGAGCGAGAAACGUUUGAAUUAAGUAGGAAUUCUCGAUCGACAAAAUAUUUACGUAAUUAAAAAUUAACAGAGAGAGAGAGAGAGAGAGAGAGAGAGAGAGAGAGAGACGCUAUACGCCUUUUCGAUUUUCUUAAUAUAUCGAGAAAUAUCGUGGAUGGUACAACUAUAAUAAUAAUGUUGCUUUUCACGUUUUUAGAAACGUCCCCGACAUUGGCACUUACUACGACGUACGUAAGUAGAUUAUGGAUCCCUAUUGCUUAAUUUGUUGACACCACUGAGGACCCUCCCGACAUCGAAUAGGGAUGAUUACACGCGUGAGAGAGGAAAGCGACGUUAUCAAAGGUUUACGUUUGUCGUGAGCGAAGGGUCUGGAGUGUCAUCAAUGGAACAGUACUAGAGCGAUAAUAAGAAUGCAGAGUUUAUUCCCACGAAGAGAACGACUGGGAGAGAAAUUUUCCACAGAGGAAGGAACUUUUGAAAAAAAAAUCUGAAAAAUCUGAUCAGCCCUCUCCAAUAAUUCUAAUUAUACUCAAGCGGUAUACUCGAGAUAACAAUACACGGAGAAAAGAAAGGACUUUUUAUUAUUCGAACUAGACACUCGAGUUCAGUCUUCGUUGUUAAGUUUUGAGAAAUAAGAAUUACAAAUAUUACGUAAAAAGGAUUCUACAUAUUUUUCUCCUCCCCAUCGCCCUCUCUCUUCGUCUAUCGGCACGAUCCUUGGCAAACGUUGACGCAACGAUAUGCGUCGUACGAAUUCGUCGUAACGUGUUCGAUCGAUCGUCCGUCUUCUCGCCAAGUCAGUUGACAAAACAGAGACGGACAACAUGAGAUCUUACUUUUGAGACUCGCGUCAUUUUGCAUAAUACAAGACGCUUAUAACGGAGAGUUAAAUAUUUGACGAAGUCAGUCGUCGCGGUACACUUUGUCGUACUUGCGUAAUAAAACGUUGAGAGUUACGUGCAUAAGGAAAAAAAUGACAAACGAGAGCUCGAUAAACGUACUUACAUACUAAAUAUCUAUAGAAAUGUUAUACAUUAAAAGAAGAAGGAUCGAGUUAUUCAAUUUCAAAGAAUAAUUUCAAGAUCAAUUUUAUUCGGAUUCGUCAGCUCGAUUUUAACGAGAUGACGUACGAUCGAAGGGAACAAAUAACGUCGAUAAAUACCUACUUAAAACCGGAUAUAUUAAUCGAUCGUUCAUCGGCGACAUCAUCGAAUCACCGCCGAUGACCCUGAAUACAAAGAAGCCAAGUAUGCGCAAGUUCGCGGUCGAGUCCGUCGCGUAUUUCGUGAUCGGGCAAGAGAACGAGGUUGAUUACAAAGACAAUCAUGAUGAUGCUAUAAACGUCUUUUUAACGUGAUUCUUUUUUAAGCUAAAAUCAAGAGGAAUAAUCUCCAUAACCUUUCCGAAUUACGUAAUAGUAGAUAUCAAUGAGUUAGAAAAUAAAUGAAAUGAUCGACGAAUUCAAGGCAGUAAAUGAAACAAUGGGACAAUCAAUGGAUGCAGCGGAAGGAAGAAGGAAGACAGGCUGGCAUAAUCGGUAGGACACACUCGAAGAUUCCUCGAGCGAUAGUGACCGCCGCCGUCAGUUGUGACGGGAAAGUAUGAAUGGAGCAUAUCGAAGCACCAUCGUGUCUAUCCUCGUCUUCGUUCCACCUUGUCUCGCGCGUGACGAGCAUAUAAAUAUGCUUAUGUAGCAUGAACGUAAGAUCUGAUUCCUCCUUCCCCUCCCUCUCACUCUCCUCCAUCAGUCUUCCUUUUUCCAUAUCUUCGACCCUCGCGAGUCUCGUUCCACAAAAUCUUGAAACGUUGAGACGACGUACAUCUUAUUGCAUGUACAUACUAUAUAUUGAAAUCAUUCGAGUGAUUAGCUCACUGUUACUUUUUCUUUUUCAUAUCAGACGGGUCUCCGAUGUAAAUCGAAACGUUUAAUGAAAAAGAGAGGAUCCACGCGAUUAGCUCGAUCGUCGAUCAUCGAUCGCUCGAAAUAGAAUGAAACAUACUCGAGUAAAAAAAAAUAAACUUUCAUACCUAUCGAAUGGAUUGAGUUCGAUUUGCGUACUAACAGAAACAUCGAAUAUGGCAACCGGUAUUCUACGAAUCGUUUGGCAUUGCAAAUAUAGACCUUGCGUGAACGGGCGCCACUAGCGAUAACAACGCGUUAAUCAUUGAUCAACAAUUGAUAAUAAAUGGCGGAAACUUGGAAGCUUCGCCCAUAUCUUCGUAA